UACGGAGGGGGCUAGCGUUGUUCGGAAUUACUGGGCGUAAAGCGCUCGUAGGCGGUUCUUCACGUCAGAGGUGAAAGCCCGGUGCUCAACACCGGAAUUGCCUUUGAAACUAGGGAACUUGAAUCCAGGAGAGGUGAGUGGAAUUCCGAGUGUAGAGGUGAAAUUCGUAGAUAUUCGGAAGAACACCAGUGGCGAAGGCGGCUCACUGGACUGGUAUUGACGCUGAGGUGCGAAAGCGUGGGGAGCAAACAGG
rnacentral:rRNA from 1 species